UUAGUCUGAUUAGUAAUAAGUUAUUGUUUUUUUCAGGAUUGUGGAAUUUAGCUAAAAAAAGUCUUCCAAAUACAAACAGAAGCAAAAAAAUGUUUGCUGGUUAUUUAGCAACCUUUAUGCUGCGUACCAAAUGGAAAGGAAAAGAUGGCUUUAAGUUAUUUAUGAAAUAUGCAGCUAAAUUGUAUCCUGAUGAUUCUACUACAGAUGUAACUGAAACAAAACGUUUAAAGAGUGCUUGUAAGGAAAACAUACUUUACUUUAUUUAACUUCUUUUACAAAAAAUUUAUAUUAAUAUUUAUUAUUCGGAAAAACAAAAUUGAUUAGGAAUAGGGGUCUCAUCAACUAUGUCUGUGGAGAAGUUUAAGUUUGGGGAGUCUACACUGAAUGUAAAGUUAGAUGCCUAUGAAAUAGUUUUUUAAAUGUGUUAGAGUGUCGAUUUAAAAGUAUAAUUUAUUACCGUGUUGUUUAAUGGGGUGGAGCAAAUUUGGUGAUGUGUGGUGUUCUCUUCUGUUUUAAUUGAGUUUUCAGUUUCGUCGAUUAUUGUUUUUGAUAUUAGUUCCUAAAGUUUGUUGUUUUCCUUGUAAUUAGUAAUUGAAAGUUUUAUUAUAGUAAUAGUUAUAUUUACAUCGGUUAAUAUUGAUAGGUUUUGGAAAGUUGUUAUGAGAUCCCGGUUAGUUGAUUUUGUUUCUUCUUGUCCUAAUGCUAUUGUUAAUUUCUAAACCAGAAAUGGAAAAAUAGUAUGAAGUUAAAUAUAUGUGAUGUUAUUAAUAAUUAUUACCGUUUCUAAUUUUUUAGUUUCUUCUUCAACAUAUUUUAUGGUUCCAUUUGAUUCUGAAAGUGCUAAUUUUAAUGCUUCGUUUUCUGUUUCUAAAUUGACUAUAGUAAGUUUUAAUUUUUUGGACCAGUGGAUUGGUUUUUUUGACAUCUUUAAGUUGUUCCGACUAUGCAAAUGUAUUCUGCAGUCCUCGUUCCGCAUUUUAUGGUCGUCGCUGGGUGUUUUCCGUUUUCCAUAAUAUACUAUGCAUAUUACUGUGCACAAAGGAUGCUUUGAUGUUGGUAUCGAUUCCUGUUGAUUCUGGUGAACUCCGUUUUCAGUACUUCAAACUACGUUGAUGUUUUCUUGCAGUAUGGGAUAACUUUUUAUACAGUUGUUUUGGAAUCGUGACACUAAUACCUGCAGAAACUGUGCACAGCUUUUUGGAAUUGUUAUUCUGGCAUAAAAUUUAAUCGCAUCAUCUGAGAGGUAAGAUUGAAGUUGACAAAAUAAUUGUUAUAUUAUGUUGAUUAUAAAAGAAAUAGGUCGUUAGCUCACUAUAUAUAUUAGUGAACUACUCUGAUGAAUGAUACAAUACAGGUGCUGGCAUGCUAUCCAAGGCAAACUUAGGGCUAAACACUAAUCGAGCCCCAACACAAUAGCUUCGUGUCAUGCAAUCCAUAUUUAGAAAGAUCUGCUAUGGCAUGUCUGUUGUGCUUGGGUUAGUUGUCACCGAUAAAGAUUACAGGCUAACUGAUGAAGUUAAAAUUGUGGAAUGUACAAUCAAAUAUGAAUGUAGAUUUCACUACUAAAUUUUUAGUUUUUGGCUAUGGGCUACAAUUUAAAUUAUCUAUAUGGUGGAUAUUCUGUUGAUGAUUGUAUCUAUUAAUGAAAUAGUUCUUCGUUAUACGUAUUUCAUUUUGUAUUUAUUACUUAUACAAUUUAAACUAAUGAAUUAUUUGUUAAUUGUUACAUUUCUUGUUUGGGACAAAUUAUAAACAAUCUCAGAAAACAUUUGUUUUUGCAGCGCUAGAAGUUUUCAUUUUCAUUUUUUAAUUUGCGUACAUGAUUUUUUAAUAUUUUGGACCAGUGAAUUUUUUUAGACAUUUUUAAAAAGGAUUAAUAUAUGAAAACUAUCAAUGUUGCGAAAUUCCAGUCUUACCACCUUUGCCAGAUUUCUUGUGUGCUAAAUUUUCAGAUUAUAUUGUUAUUAGUUGAUAAUUUUAUAUAUAUAUAUAUAUUACUUUUUAGAU